rnacentral:rRNA from 1 species
GCUUCAAGGAUUCGCUAGAGAUAGCUUAGUGCCUUCGGGAACUCUGAGACAGGUGCUGCAUGGCUGUCGUCAGCUCGUGUUGUGAAAUGUUGGGUUAAGUCCCGCAACGAGCGCAACCCUUAUCCUUUGUUGCCAGCGAGUAAUGUCGGGAACUCAAAGGAGACUGCCGGUGAUAAACCGGAGGAAGGUGGGGAUGACGUCAAGUCAUCAUGGCCCUUACGAGUAGGGCUACACACGUGCUACAAUGGCAUAUACAAAGAGAAGCGAACUCGCGAGAGCAAGCGGACCUCAUAAAGUAUGUCGUAGUCCGGAUUGGAGUCUGCAACUCGACUCCAUGAAGUCGGAAUCGCUAGUAAUCGUAGAUCAGAAUGCUACGGUGAAUACGUUCCCGGGUCUUGUACACACCGA